rnacentral:tRNA from 1 species
UAAGAAUUAAUUAAUCAAUAAUAUUAAAAUGUCAAUUUAAAAUAACUAAUUUUAGUAUUCUUAA